rnacentral:rRNA from 1 species
UGGGGAAUAUUGGACAAUGGAGGGAACUCUGAUCCAGCAAUUCUGUGUGUGUGAAGAAGGUUUUAGGACUGUAAAACACUUUUAGUAGGGAAGAAAAAAAUGACGGUACCUACAGAAGAAGCAACGGCUAAAUACGUGCCAGCAGCCGCGGUAAUACGUAUGUUGCGAGCGUUAUCCGGAAUUAUUGGGCUUAAAGGGCAUCUAGGCGGUAAGACAAGUUGAAGGUGAAAACCUGUGGCUCAACCAUAGGCUUGCCUACAAAACUGUUGAACUAGAGUACUGGAAAGGUGGGUGGAACUACACGAGUAGAGGUGAAAUUCGUAGAUAUGAGUAGGAAUGCCGAUGAUGAAGAUAACUCACUGGACAGAAACUGACGCUGAAGUGCGAAAGCUAGGGGAGCAAACAGG